ACCAGCUAAGGUCCCAAAAUAUAUGUUAAGUGGAAAAGGAUGUGGCGUUGCCCAGACAACUAGGAUGUUGGCUUAGAAGCAGCCAUCAUUUAAAGAGUGCGUAAUAGCUCACUAGUCGAGUGACACUGCGCCGAAAAUGUACCGGGGCUAAACAUAUUACCGAAGCUGUGGAUUGUCCUUUGGACAAUGGUAGGAGAGCGUUCUAAGGGCGUUGAAGCAUGAUCGUAAGGACAUGUGGAGCGCUUAGAAGUGAGAAUGCCGGUGUGAGUAGCGAAAGACGGGUGAGAAUCCCGUCCACCGAUUGACUAAGGUUUCCAGAGGAAGGCUCGUCCGCUCUGGGUUAGUCGGGUCCUAAGCUGAGGCCGACAGGCGUAGGCGAUGGAUAACAGGUUGAUAUUCCUGUACCACCUAUAAUCGUUUUAAUCGAUGGGGGGACGCAGUAGGAUAGGCGAAGCGUGCGAUUGGAUUGCACGUCUAAGCAGUAAGGCUGAGUAUUAGGCAAAUCCGGUACUCGUUAAGGCUGAGCUGUGAUGGGGAGAAGACAUUGUGUCUUCGAGUCGUUGAUUUCACACUGCCGAGAAAAGCCUCUAGAUAGAAAAUAGGUGCCCGUACCGCAAACCGACACAGGUAGUCAAGAUGAGAAUUCUAAGGUGAGCGAGCGAACUCUCGUUAAGGAACUCGGCAAAAUGACCCCGUAACUUCGGGAGAAGGGGUGCUCUUUAGGGUUAACGCCCAGAAGAGCCGCAGUGAAUAGGCCCAAGCGACUGUUUAUCAAAAACACAGGUCUCUGCUAAACCGUAAGGUGAUGUAUAGGGGCUGACGCCUGCCCGGUGCUGGAAGGUUAAGAGGAGUGGUUAGCUUCUGCGAAGCUACGAAUCGAAGCCCCAGUAAACGGCGGCCGUAACUAUAACGGUCCUAAGGUAGCGAAAUUCCUUGUCGGGUAAGUUCCGACCCGCACGAAAGGCGUAACGAUUUGGGCACUGUCUCAACGAGAGACUCGGUGAAAUCAUAGUACCUGUGAAGAUGCAGGUUACCCGCGACAGGACGGAAAGACCCCGUGGAGCUUUACUGUAGCCUGAUAUUGAAAUUCGGCACAGCUUGUACAGGAUAGGUAGGAGCCUUUGAAACGUGAGCGCUAGCUUACGUGGAGGCGCUGGUGGGAUACUACCCUAGCUGUGUUGGCUUUCUAACCCGCACCACUUAUCGUGGUGGGAGACAGUGUCAGGCGGGCAGUUUGACUGGGGCGGUCGCCUCCUAAAAGGUAACGGAGGCGCUCAAAGGUUCCCUCAGAAUGGUUGGAAAUCAUUCAUAGAGUGUAAAGGCAUAAGGGAGCUUGACUGCGAGACCUACAAGUCGAGCAGGGUCGAAAGACGGACUUAGUGAUCCGGUGGUUCCGCAUGGAAGGGCCAUCGCUCAACGGAUAAAAGCUACCCCGGGGAUAACAGGCUUAUCUCCCCCAAGAGUUCACAUCGACGGGGAGGUUUGGCACCUCGAUGUCGGCUCAUCGCAUCCUGGGGCUGUAGUCGGUCCCAAGGGUUGGGCUGUUCGCCCAUUAAAGCGGUACGCGAGCUGGGUUCAGAACGUCGUGAGACAGUUCGGUCCCUAUCCGUCGUGGGCGUAGGAAAUUUGAGAGGAGCUGUCCUUAGUACGAGAGGACCGGGAUGGACAUACCUCUGGUGUACCAGUUGUCGUGCCAACGGCAUAGCUGGGUAGCUAUGUGUGGACGGGAUAAGUGCUGAAAGCAUCUAAGCAUGAAGCCCCCCUCAAGAUGAGAUUUCCCAACUUCGGUUAUAAGAUCCCUCAAAGAUGAUGAGGUUAAUAGGUUCGAGGUGGAAGCAUGGUGACAUGUGGAGCUGACGAAUACUAAUUGAUCGAAGACUUAAUCAA
rnacentral:rRNA from 1 species